AAGUCGAACGGUAACAGGAAGCAGCUUGCUGCUUUGCUGACGAGUGGCGGACGGGUGAGUAAUGUCUGGGAAACUGCCCGAUGGAGGGGGAUAACUACUGGAAACGGUAGCUAAUACCGCAUAACGUCGCAAGACCAAAGAGGGGGACCUUAGGGCCUCUUGCCAUCGGAUGUGCCCAGAUGGGAUUAGCUAGUAGGUGGGGUAAUGGCUCACCUAGGCGACGAUC
rnacentral:rRNA from 1 species